GCCUAAAGCGUCCGUAGCCGGCUCUGUAAGUUUUCGGUUAAAUCUGUACGCUUAACGUACAGGCUGCCGGGAAUACUGCAGAGCUAGGGAGUGGGAGAGGUAGACGGUACUCGGGAGGAAGUGGUAAAAUGCUUUGAUCUCUCGAUGACCACCUGUGGCGAAGGCGGUCUACCAGAACACGUCCGACGGUGAGGGAUGAAAGCUGGGGGAGCAAACCGGAUUAGAUACCCGGGUAGUCCCAGCUGUAAACUAUGCAAACUCAGUGAUGCAUUGGCUUGUGGCCAAUGCAGUGUUGCAGGGAAGCCGUUAAGUUUGCCGCCUGGGAAGUACGUACGCAAGUAUGAAACUUAAAGGAAUUGGCGGGGGAGCACCACAAGGGGUGAAGCCUGCGGUUCAAUUGGAGUCAACGCCAGAAAUCUUACCCGGAGAGACAGCAGAAUGAAGGUCAAGCUGAAGACUUUACCAGACAAGCUGAGAGGUGGUGCAUGGCCGCCGCCAGCUCGUGCCGUGAGAUGUCCUGUUAAGUCAGGUAACGAGCGAGAUCCCUGCCUCUAGUUGCCACCAUUACUCUCAGGAGUAGUGGGGCGAAUUAGCGGGACCGCCGCAGUUAAUGCGGAGGAAGGAAGGGGCCACGACAGGUCAGUAUGCCCCGAA
rnacentral:rRNA from 1 species